ACACCAUGCAGGUUUGCUAAAGCAGCCCGCUAAUGUACACUGCCUGGGAUUGGUAAGGCAGCCUGCUAAUGUACACUGCCUGGGAUUGCUAAGGCAGCCUGCUAAUGUACACUGCCUGGGAUUGGUAAGGCAGCCUGCUAAUGUACACUGCCUGGGAUUGCUAAGGCAGCCUGCUAAUGUACACUGCCUGGGAUUGGUAAAGCAGCCUGCUAAUGUACACUGCCUGGGAUUGGUAAGGCAGCCUGCUAAUGUACACUGCC